UACAGAGGAUGCAAGCGUUAUCCGGAAUGAUUGGGCGUAAAGCGUCUGUAGGUGGCUUUUUAAGUCCGCCGUCAAAUCCCAGGGCUCAACUCUGGACAGGCGGUGGAAACUACCAAGCUGGAGUACGGUAGGGGCAGAGGGAAUUUCCGGUGGAGCGGUGAAAUGCGUAGAGAUGUGGAGGAAUACCGAUGGCGAAGGCAGCCCCCUGGGAUAACACUGACGCUCAUGCACGAAAGCGUGGGGAGCAAACAGG
rnacentral:rRNA from 1 species